AUCAAGGUUUUUUUUAAAACCACCCAACUUGUUGUAUCAUAAAUUUU
rfam:Absidia repens strain NRRL 1336 BCR42scaffold_10, whole genome shotgun sequence.